rnacentral:rRNA from 1 species
UAUUAUUGAUUAUGUGAUGCUGAUACUGGAGUAGUAAUAGAUAAGGUCUUCAAACUCAAAGAAUUUGGCGGUAUUUUAGUCUUUUCAGAGGAAUCUGUCCAGUAAUUGAUAAUACACGAGUUUAGAAACUUGAUCUGGUUAUUAAUUUGUAUACCGCCGUCAUGAGAUUAUCUUUUUAGAAAGAAAUUUUCUUGAGUUAAUAUUGUAUAGUAUGUCAGGUCAAGGUGCAGUAAAUGAUUAAGAUGGAGAUGGAUUACAAUAAUAGUAGUUAAAUGAAUGUUUAAGUGUAAUAGGUUUAAACUGAAGGUGGAUUUGAUUGUAAAUUAAUAUUGAUUUAGGUAAUUAUUAUUUAUUUUUUGAUUAGGGCUCUAAAAUGUGCACAUAUCGCCCGUCGCUCUCAUUAUAAAAUGAG